UAACGGCUGCCACAAUAGCUUCAACUUUAACACCGGGAUCUUUCUCAACAAUAUGUCGGACUAAUGUGCUAAUCAUCCUUCCACUGACAUGUUUGUGGUCUCGACUCAAUCCCGUAAACAAACAAGUGUGAGGACCCUCAUAUUUUGUGAUUUGAAAAUAUCCAUAUUUUUUCAACAAUACAGCACGAAGCCUCCAUUUACAAUG
rnacentral:lncRNA from 1 species